UGUAGUCAUAUGCUUGUCUCAAAGAUUAAGCCAUGCAUGUCUAAGUAUAAGCACUCAUACUGUGAAACUGCGAAUGGCUCAUUAAAUCAGUUAUCGUUUAUUUGAUAGUACCUUUACCUGGAUAACCGUGGUAAUUCUAGAGCUAAUACAUGCUAAAAAUCCCGACUUCGGAAGGGAUGUAUUUAUUAGAUAAAAAACCAAUACCCUUCGGGGCUCCUUGGUGAUUCAUAAUAACUCAACGAAUCGCAUGGCCUUGCGCCGGCGAUGGUUCAUUCAAAUUUCUGCCCUAUCAACUUUCGAUGGUAGGAUAGUGGCCUACCAUGGUCUCAACGGGUAACGGGGAAUG
rnacentral:rRNA from 1 species